rnacentral:piRNA from 1 species
UUAGAGCCAGCGCCUCUGCCAGA